CACAAUGGGCGCAAGCCUGAUGCAGCCAUGCCGCGUGUGUGAAGAAGGCCUUCGGGUUGUAAAGCACUUUCAGCGGGGAGGAAGGCGGUGAGGUUAAUAACCUCAUCGAUUGACGUUACCCGCAGAAGAAGCACCGGCUAACUCCGUGCCAGCAGCCGCGGUAAUACGGAGGGUGCAAGCGUUAAUCGGAAUUACUGGGCGUAAAGCG
rnacentral:rRNA from 1 species